rnacentral:rRNA from 1 species
GACGAACGCUGGCGGCGUGCUUAACACAUGCAAGUCGAACGGAAAGGCCCUGCUUUUGUGGGGUGCUUGAGUGGCGAACGGGUGAGUAACACGUGAGUAACCUGCCCUUGACUGUGGGAUAACUUCAGGAAACUGGGGCUAAUACCGGAUAGGAGCUCCUGCCGCAUGGUGGGGGUUGGAAAGUUUCGGCGGCUGGGGAUGGACUCGCGGCUUAUCAGUUUGUUGGUGGGGUAGUGGCUGACCAAUGCUUUGAAGGGUAGUCGGCCUGAGAGGGUGGCCGGCCACAUUGGGACUGAGAUACGGCCCAGACUCCUACGGGCGGCAGCAGUGGGGAAUAUUGCACAAUGGGCGGAAGCCUGAUGCAGCAACGCCGCGUGCGGGAUGACGGCCUUCGGGUUGUAAACCGCUUUCGCCUGUGACGAAGCGUGAGUGACGGUAAUGGGUAAAGAAGCACCGGCUAACUACGUG